UUCGGUGAAGUUGAGGUCGCUCCCGAGCCCCCCUCGGGGCCCGUCGGUACGAGCAGCCCGCGGCAUCGCCGCCGAGCGCAGGGCGGGAGUGGGGUGCCACAUCUCUGCUCUCCCAAGGCCCCCGCACCUGGACUGGGGAGAACGGCUGUAUCACCUCAGGGGCAAUGUCCAUCCCUCCUCGUGUCCCGCAGCUCCCACCAGUGGCUGCAGCACUGGGCCACAUCCCAGCGUUGUGUCGGCAGCGGAACCGGAGCUCAGCGCGUGAAGGCCCAACCGCGUGUGAGAGGACCUGGAAAACAAGUUCAGCCCUGCUAUCUGCGCCUGGCAUGUGAGAAUGAAAACUGAGGCUCGUUUGGAGCAAAGGGCUCCCUGCGGCCGCUGACAGCACAGGGUUUGGAGGCAGCUUUGCAGGACAUCCCGGGACCAGCGCGGCGCAGCUGGAAGUACCAGCUGGCUGGAAAGCACUCAGCCAUGGCCCACUGAGGAACUGAAAGGACAGAGGUGUGGCAAGCUCUAGCUGAUGUGGUGUGUUCUUCUUCAUUGUCCUUCACUGCAGAACCGCAUAUCUGAAAUCCAGUCCAUUUCAGGAGUUACACCAGUGUGAAUAAUAGAGGCCUCGUCUGAGAUGUGCGGAAAGCUCGCAUCAGUUUAAAGAUACAUGAAUUCUGCUCUGUCAUAACCGUACGAUGCCAGAAGACCUGCUGCUGCUUCGAGUGACUGCUUGUCUGAUGGGGCUCAGUUCUGAAGUCCAAAAUGAGAUUCCUCUGCUUAAGGACUGGCUAUUCAGAGAUGCACUUGGAGUCCUGCAACUGCUCCUGAAAUCAGUGGGAACUGACUUCAAGCACCACUGAAACAUGCUGCUGGCUCUCCCAGAUGACUUUUUUUUAAUUGAAGACGCUUGGAUGUUACAAGGUGCUUCUAACAAGAAGAAUGCAGUGCGUGUUGUACACCGAAGUCAUACUAUUUUCUCUGCAACAAGUACAGAAGCAGCUGUAUUUGCAUUACUCACUUGCAGGUAUGUAAUAUCAGAUUACACUGUUAAUUCUCUUUGUUUCCUGGAAAUAUCCAUGUCAGACUUUUAUCCUUUGCACACAUAGGAGGUCCACAUUCAUAACAGCCUAUUUUAAAUGCAAAGAAGUUCUGUGCACUUUGCUGUUAAUUCUGAAGCAUUGCCAGUGCUGCUUUCAUAAUUCACUCUAUUUCAUUUGUCGCUAAUUGUAUCUGCACUUUCCCAAAAGUUUUGUCUCCGGGAAAUCUAAGCCACAUCCUCCCGCUUCAUCAGCAGUGGUACAUCUGUGUGCAAGGACAUACGGCUGCAUAUCAAAUAGCACUGCCAUGCUCUGCCAUUCACCAUCACUCUUCAGGAUGCUGAUGAAUGUGCUGACAGACAAAGGCUAAUUGGCAGACUGUACGGAGUCAGUUUUUGAUGACACAGUAGAAAUAAUAGGAGACGGAGCAGGUAACAAAGAAAGUUUAGAGGGAAUAAUAAUAGAGAGAUAGACAGAGCAUUUCAUGCAAGGAGAGCACGCGGUCUGAAAUACAGCAGGAGGGAACUGAAGAGCCCCAGAAAUGCACAAAAGAAAAAAAAGAAACAGGUAAAGGAGAGCUAACUCUGCACUUCCUGCUGCUGCAACAGAGAGGGGAAAUUGCUCUGAUAUGAAAGUGGGUUUGCCACCACACUUUGAAAACUGCGAUCUGUUUCACUGCAAUGCAACCUGAACCCAUUCUCCUGAAUGUGUGGACUUGCCAUGUCUUCUAUACUUCAUCCGGUGGGAUCGAUAGGCAGCGGUUCCACCUGAUUUUCACCGUGAGAGUUGGGUGCAGACAGUUGUUGUGAAUGCAAACACUCCUGGAAAUCUUUUGCGGGGCAUUCACUGGCAGG